AAGCUCAGACCCAUCGCUGUUAUUAAGGGAUGAAUCAUUUGGAGCUACUGUUUCACUCGCGCUACUGUCAACUUCACCUUCAAUUUGUGUCACGAGAUUUUCUAAAUGCAUGUUUUCCAAAUCAGAGAUUUGAACGGUGUUCCUUGGCGCUGAUGAUAUUAUCAUUCUGUUGUGUAUUAUUUACUUAUUCGGCUCGUGUGUGAAACAAGCUUUCAGUAGCCUUGAAAUGGACCGUUUACAACUUUACAUUACCACACAACCUCAGGUUCUAUUUUGCAAUUAUAUCCUGUAUGACCGUCUGGAUUUGAACCUGGCAUUAGGUACCUUAUCUUCGUAAAAGGUUUUCCAUUCAUUGCAAGAUUUUCUGAUCAUUUAGUUCCAUAUUAUCCAUAAUUGAGAUCGAACUACGUGCUAAGUAGUGCUUUAAUCUGAUUCAUCUCUAGAAAUUCAUCGUGAAUAAGCAUAAGGCACUUAGUGCGAAACAAAACUUCAGAUUGUACGGAAUCCUUGACGAAAGUUAACCUACUACGUUGCACAUGUUAGAAAUCUUUACUGUGAGUUGUUCAAUCUUUGUAUUCAUUCUGUCAACUCUGGCGAAUAAAUUCCCUUAUUAUCUUU